GCUUACUUGGUUGGGGUCAGAGCAUACAGAGUGUGGACCUGAGAGAUGCUGGGAGGUGCUGACCCCAUGGUGCACUGAGGAGAAGCAAAGACAUCUUUGUAGGAGUCAGUGUUGAGCUGGGUACCCCUACAUUUCAUAUAUUGAAGGCCUAACCCCUAGGAUUUCAGCAUGUGACCUUAUUUGGAGGUAUGUCUUUACAGAGGUAAUCAAGUUAGAGUAAAAGCAUGAGGGUGGGUCCAGAUCCAGAAGGACUGGUGUCUAUGUGAGAAGGGGGCAUUUGGAUAUGGGGACACGCACCCAGGGAGAAUGCAGUGUGAACACAAAGAUGGCCGUGUGCAAACCAAAGAUGGAAGCAUGAAACUCGUGCAGGUCUGCCAGCACCUGGACACAGGACUUUCAGACCCCAGAGCUGUUUCUGUCGUUCAGGCCUCCCCAUUGGUAGCACUUUGUUGCAGCAGCCACAGCAAACCAAUGGACUAGCCAGCGCUAGUAGCCUCUUCUUUCCUUCAGGGGAGCGUAGAGAAAAGAAGGAUUCUUGAGACUCUGCGAAGCAAUGUGGUUUUCUUCUAUUUAAGACCUGGAAACCCCAAUGGCAUUUACAUCAAUGAAACAACUGGCCCCUAUAUCAGCUGAUUCAGUGAUUUCUGCCAUUUUAACAGUGUUUGUUGGCCCAUAAUAAUUAAGCAUUUGAUGCAAGAUCUGUUAUAAACUGACUAAAUAAUCCAGCAGACACGUGUCUGUUCUGUGCCUGUUUGCAGGAAAAUCACCAGUGAGCUAGGCUGAGAGACUCUGAGUGAGAGCUGUUGAGUCUUCCCUGAGGCUCCUGUCCAUUCUAUGGCUGGUCUCCCUGUGUCUCUAGCCAUCAUCACUGCUGAUUAUGAGGUUGGAGAAGGAUAUGAAGUGUGGCGCCAAAAAGGUUGCCCGAGGUGAUCUCUCUCUCUAUGGGGCUGAACGACACCUCUUCGUUGGAUUCCCUUCCAUCUGAAGAGAACAAACUACUAGGGCGGCGUCUCCCCAUCUUCCUGGCACACCCCUCCAUGCCCUCCAUCACCACUGAGACCUACGGGAGGGACACCUGUUAUCGAGGAUGCCACCAGAUUAUGUGCAGGACCGACACACACCCACGCUCACCCUUGCUCACACAUGCUGCAGUUGUAUGCCUGGAAAAAGACAAAGAAGGCAAAACGGUGCUGCUGGCUAAGAUGAGGCUUUCACUUCCUCAGAUUCUGCAGGUUUGUGUAAUGAACUGGAAAUCAACACACUCCAAAUAUCAAGGAACCAUUAGAACCUUGUUUAAACUGGGGGACACUCAUUUGUGUCAAGGAAAUCCAGAGGACAGGAGAGCCUGGCAACGAAUUCAUUCAUCCAUCCAUUGACCCAUUCAUUCAUCCAUCCUUUGACCCAUUCAUUCAUUCAUCCAUUUACCCAUCAUGCAUUCAUUCAACUGACAAGUCCCAGAUAGUGUGGUGUUUGGAGAUGGUAAAAGACAUUUUCUGCCUCCAUCCUCCACCCUCCGCCUUUCACAUGCAAUCCAAGGAAUGAAGUAGAUAUACCUAGAAAUAAUUUUAACCAUAUGAGAAAUUCUAGUGUCAAGAGACAAUCCAAAUAAUAAUAUCUGUGCCUGAUAACAGGCACAGAAGAAGAAGCACAUCGCUGCCUGUAGACCACCAGGAAGCCUUUUGAAGAGGGUGGUAUCUGAUUUGAGUCUUAAGGAGGAAAGAGGCGUUUGUCAAUUUGGGUCUAAAUUAACUUGACUGUCUUUUGUCCCUUUUUCUCUGAUUGGCACACCAGUUGUCAAGAGCAAGAGCUGUGUGUCCAGUUUCUUUAUAUACCAAGCGUCUGGCUCAGUGCCUGGUUCACAGUAGCCACCUGCCAUAUUUUAGUUGAAUAAAGGAACAAAUCUAUAAACGACUAGUACUGGG
ensembl:lncRNA